GAAGGGCUCAGUGGCAGGGCAUCUGCGUUGCAUGCAGAAGGUCCUUGGUUCAAUCCCUGGCAUCUUCA